rnacentral:lncRNA from 1 species
UUGUCGAUUAGGUUCUUUUUUGAAUACCUAAGUUCCAUCUUUCAGUUUCCUCCUUUUUCGUUUUCUGAGUCUUGCUUCCUUUCUUCCUCGGGUAACUUAUCAAUUUUCCCAGGUAAUCUUUUAAUUUUCUCUCUUUCCUUUAUUUCCCAAACAAUGGUCAGAGUCAAAGACAAUCAUCAUGAGGGUGGGAGGAAUCACGACGGUCACAGUUGAAGGGGCUGUGGGGUGGUGCUACAGUGGGUGAUGGGGCUAGACCCAAUAGUUGAGAGGUAAGUGCCAUAUUGGAGAGUCCUUUCUUCCAAUGCUCAACAACUAGAGACGAGUUCGUCAAACAUCUGGGUGUUAGAGGGAUACAAUUGCCCAAUUUCGCUUAUGAAUUCAGCAUAGUUCAUGGCGAGUGCCGACUGAGUGACAGUACUAAUGGUAUCAUUCUUCCCUUCUAUCUUUUCGAGGCUGGGUUUCACCUCCCGCUACACCCAUUCUUCUGUACAGUGCUGAAUGAAUAUGGAAUUUCAUUGGGACAACUUGUUGGUCUAUCCUGGUGGACUUUGAUUGCUUACUUCAUCGAUUGUAGUCUGAGGAAUUAGCCACCCAUUCUUGGUGUAUUCCAAUGGAUCUAUCAAUUGAAGGUUACCACUUAUGGUGCCACUGUGGGGAUGGGACACUUCAGUACUCACCAAGGACGCGAGUCAAUAGUUACGAACUGGGCCUCCAACCUUCAUCUCAAUAGGAAUAAAUUUAUUCAGGUAAGGAGUAGGCUGAGGGGUGGUUUUGGCUUCCCGAUACAGUGGUCCAUCCCUCAAGAGUCCGUCUGUACCUGCAAGCAGCCAUUCAAUAAUGAGGCUGCUAAGGAUCAGUUCAUUCACCUGAACUUGGGCCGUUUAUUGUGCUAGAGGAGCUCAUCACCGUCAGAGACAUCUUCCAUUUCUACUUGGAGAAUUAGGGCCCGAAUGGCUGUAGACCUGUGGAUAUUGCGGUUGGGGCUGAUCCCCAAGUAAUACCAUCCACCGAAAAGGCAUGGCCCUACAACGCCAUUAAUGAUUUGGCCGUCAUUUUGGUAGGAAGGAAAGAUGAACCCCCACACCUCUUCUACACCAUUUGCAAGCUACGCGUACAACGCUGGUCUUCCUCGCCAACAGUUGUCAUAGGUGGGUCUUCUGGUAGGGACUUGGUUCCUAGUGGGGUUGACACUAAUCUUACUGUUGCAGGGCUCUACUCAUUCUUCAACCCCAACCCAAUCCUCUCAGCUCGAUGAUAUGGAUGUGGAGGCACUAAUGGAGAGGGCACAAUAGGCCGUUGCAGCGGCUGAUGCAUGGGAUCAGGUGGGAAGUAGUAUCCGUUAAAAGCUAAUGGCUGAAGAGAGCUCGCAAAGCACCAGGGAGAGUAGUGGCAGCAGACUGGUUCAUCGUAGGCGAGGCAAAGAAUCAGUUGAUCGCCUCCAAAUGUACUAACGUCCAGGGUGUAAAUACUGCUACGAAAAAUAUUGAAUUAAGGCGAUGUCUGCAAGUAUACGGGUUAGGUUGUAAUAUAGUUUUUAUAACAAAGUAAGUGGGUACUCCGAUGAUCGUACCGAAUGAAGGCGAGUACUAGGCGAGAUUCUAAUUAGUACUGUAAACAAAUUAUAUUACGACAACAUAUAAAGUGAAAAAUAUGUGUUUUUAUAAUAAAAUAAAUAAUCAUGCAUAAAAGGAUG